UUCGGUGUGCCGCCGCGGUGGGCUUCUUAAUCGUGCUGUUUUCCGCAGUCGCUUGUCAGGCAUUUUAGUGCCGUAUUCUGAGGACUGCCGCAGCAGCUUUUCUACAAGCGGGCCGCCUUCCGUGGUCGCCGUCUACACAUUCUUAAAUCAUAAAGCCGUCAGUUCGGUGUGCCGCCUCGGCGGGCUUCCUAAGUGCGCUGCCUUCUACAGCCUCUUAUCAUGCAUUGGUGCCGCACUAUCGGACCGCCGCAGCGGUGUUUCUACAAGUGGACCGCCCUCCGCUGUCACCUUCUAUAUGCUCCUAAAUCAACGCCUUCCGUUCGGCUUGCCGCCACUGCGGGCUCCCUAAGCGCACUGUCUUCCGCAGCCGCUUGUCAUGCAUUUGUGCCGCACUUGUUGUUGUUGUUACAUGUCCGUGGGUGCGUUCCCCGUACCUGCAAACCACCCUAGUACGAGCCGAGGGCUCAAGGGCUGACAAAUCGCCUAUAAGCACCAUCCUACCUCGCACUUCCAACGAGAUAAGUGAUGAAGUAAACUUACGGCCAAAGGGAACAAUAGAGUUGCGGUGAGACCAUAUAAGUUCCAGCAUCCUUGCCCGGCGUUCAGGCUCCCACUUCAUAACGUCCUUCAUGCCGCACUUAGCGGACCGCCACAGCGGCUUUUCUACAAGCACACCGCCUUCCGCGGCCGCUGUCUAAAUGCUCCUAAAUCAACGCCUUCAGUUUCGGCGUGCCGCCACGGCGGGCUUCCUAAGCGCACUGCCUUCCGCAGCCGCGUGUCAUGCAUUUGAGCCGCACUUAGCGGACCGCCGCAGCGGUGUUUCUACAAGCGCACCGCCUCCCCCGGCCGCUGUCUAUAUGCUCCUAAAUCAACACCUUCAAUUCGGCGUGCCGCCGCGGCGGGCUUCCUAAGCGCACUGCCUUCCGCAGCCGCGUGUCAUGCAUUUGUGCCGCACUUAGCGGACCGCCGCGGCGGCUUUUCUACAAGCACACCGCCUCCCGCGGCCGCUGUCUAUAUGCUCCUAAAUCAACGCCUUCAAUUCGGCGUGCCGCCGCGGCGGGCUUCCUAAGCGCACUGCCUUCCGCAGCCGCGUGUCAUGCAUUUGUGCCGCACUUAGCGGACCGCCGCGGCGGCUUUAUGAUGUAGCUGUAGUCCGUCCACACGUCCGAAGGCUCCGGGUCCGUCCACGCGUCUUGACUUCAACUUUCGUUUGCUUGCGGAUUUCUUGACGCCAUCCUGUAUGCCUGUCUUGCUCAUUGUUCUUUACGCCUUCGCACGUAGGGUAGCUGUUAUGUUGGUAAGUAUCNNNNNNNNNNNNNNNNNNNNNNNNNNNNNNNNNNNNNNNNNNNNNNNNNNAUAUCCUCCUAGGUCACAACGCCUCCCAUUCGGUGUGCCGCCGCGGUGGGCUUCUUAAUCGUGCUGUUUUCCGCAGUCGCUUGUCAGGCAUUUUAGUGCCGUAUUCUGAGGACUGCCGCAGCAGNCUUUUCUACAAGCGGGCCGCCUUCCGUGGUCGCCGUCUACACAUUCUUAAAUCAUAAAGCCGUCAGUUCGGUGUGCCGCCUCGGCGGGCUUCCUAAGUGCGCUGCCUUCUACAGCCUCUUAUCAUGCAAUUGGUGCCGCACUAUCGGACCGCCGCAGCGGUGUUUCUACAAGUGGACCGCCCUCCGCUGUCACCUUCUAUAUGCUCCUAAAUCAACGCCUUCCGUUCGGCUUGCCGCCACUGCGGGCUCCCUAAGCGCACUGUCUUCCGCAGCCGCUUGUCAUGCAUUUGUGCCGCACUUGUUGUUGUUGUUACAUGUCCGUGGGUGCGUUCCCCGUACCUGCAAACCACCCUAGUACGAGCCGAGGGCUCAAGGGCUGACAAAUCGCCUAUAAGCACCAUCCUACCUCGCACUUCCAACGAGAUAAGUGAUGAAGUAAACUUACGGCCAAAGGGAACAAUAGAGUUGCGGUGAGACCAUAUAAGUUCCAGCAUCCUUGCCCGGCGUUCAGGCUCCCACUUCAUAGCGUCCUUCAUGCCGCACUUAGCGGACCGCCACAGCGGCUUUUCUACAAGCACACCGCCUUCCGCGGCCGCUGUCUAAAUGCUCCUAAAUCAACGCCUUCAGUUUCGGCGUGCCGCCACGGCGGGCUUCCUAAGCGCACUGCCUUCCGCAGCCGCGUGUCAUGCAUUUGAGUCGCACUUAGCNNNNNNNNNNNNNNNNNNNNNNNNNNNNNNNNNNNNNNNNNNNNNNNNNNGGUAAUCAGGCGAACUCAAGACAAAGGGCGCCGAUCAAGCCCCUCGCAACCUCUUGCCAACCAAGAGCUACUCCCGGCAAAACGGACUCCCAGCUAAAGCCUCGCCAACUGCGGGAGGCCGAGAUAAAACCACCUUUCCUACUGACCUACGGACCUCGCGAACCCAACUAGAAUUCCCCCGCCCACCGACAAGCAACAGAACCCACUAUUCAGGUGCCUCUACUCACGGCCGAACCAACCCAACCACCCGCGCAGUGCCCGCGCGCUUCACUUACUUGCAUGGAUGCCGUUGGCCCGCAAUGUCGAUCUGCGCGUCGCCGUUGUUGUUGUCUUCUCAUAUAUAAGAGACGGCGUUCUAUUGUAGGCAAAACCAAAGAUAAAGGCAAUCUAACAUCACUCGUCAAGCGAUUUCGACCUCGACUUUUUCUAGUCUUUCUCGUCGUCUAUUUUCUGUAAUCCGUCUUAAUAAAGCUUAGUUGGUACCUGUUGUCUGACUCUGCAUUCUGUGCUGGAAUGGCCAUAACUCGGACUGUCUCGUCCUGGUGUGAUAUCCGUGGUUGGCAUAGGGCCCUCCGUACUUCUGUAUUUGGCAGCUCACAACCGGGCACAUCUCCUACACGAUGCCGAUCACCACCCAGCAGCGAUCCCUUCAUGAGUUAGUGAAUAAAUGAGUUUAAUUUCUUACUCUGGUGACGUCAACCUGAGCCUGAUUGAUGACCACGUUACUGUUCCCGUUUUGCCCCGUCCUGCGCCGGUCAGUUCUCAGAUGUCCUCACCGGUGCUUGGUCCAAUAUGAACAAUCAAAACCAGCCGCCGAGCAGUACUCUGCUUAUCACCGAGCCUGGCGAAGUUUAGCAACCAGUUCACUCAGGAGGUUUCCGACUUGCCUGUCCUACACCAAUCGCCCGCCGGGACGAAGCGGUUUGAUACUUCUCGGUGAUGUGUACGGUCUUAUAUCUAGUUUCCUGCUGGAUUCUUGAUGAUGUUGGGACAUUGCUACUAUGUUGCGGCUGCAUCCUGUAAAGGUCGUAUCGUGUUUAUAACUUCAUGUCUUUUCUGUUUUAAUUCGUUUGGCUUUGCAAUCUCCGCCUCCUUUGUCUAGACUCGGGUUUUGGAGGUAACUUCUUUUCCUUAAUCCCGCCCUUGCAGCCGGCCGUCCAGGGAAAAGCGAAAGAGCUCCUAAGCCUUCAAACAGUCUUUUGUAUCUUGCUUCAACUAUUACCUAUGCAGCAAUUUGCUACAUCGUAAAAUGCGACAACCAGGAGACAGCAUACAUAUAAGGGCUUGGCACAACUGGUACCGCGCGACCAUUGCCCCCGGGACAUCCCGGGAUCGAUACCCGUUAGGGUCAAAAGUCCUUCCGAUGGCGGAAGGCAUUGC
rnacentral:lncRNA from 1 species